GCCCCCGUAGCUCAGGGGAUAGAGCACGGCCCUCCGGAGGCCGGUGCACAGGUUCAAAUCCUGUCGGGGGCACCA
rnacentral:tRNA from 2 species